rnacentral:lncRNA from 1 species
AGUCUCUCUCUUGAGCUACAGUGCUGCAUCAUCAACUGCCUAUUGGACUCCUCAAUCUAGAUAUUUUUUUGUUCCUGAAUUGAAGAACACAGGACUACAAGCAAGAGUGACAGCAGACAAGAGUGGCAUGCUGACCAGAUGACGAAGGACACGCAGAGUUUCUACAAUCAACAUCAAAGGACAUGGAAGGACUUUGAAAGUUUGGACUUGUGAUCAUGAAGUUAUGAGGAUGAAUGAGAAGAGUAUCUGAGCAAUCAGCAAAGUCAUCAGCACUACUAGAAAAAUAGCAACUUCGACAAAUUCGCCUGACAGUAAGUCCUGGACAACCUUUAUAUAUUAAGCUCCCCAUUGUUUGCACCAAAAUAUCCUCAGCAAUUACCAACCAGCCUACCUCAUGCAGAGACACUUGUCACCAGGAAGUUAGCCAAUGGAUGGACUUUGGGAGCUGAAAGGUGUGGAGAGAAAGAUGAUAACAGAUCUCAAAAACCAUCUACCAAGGCUUUGCUUUAUUACUCAAAAUGAUUACUACGAAGGGGUGACAACUACAGACCUACUCACCACUGACACCAGAGAGAGAGACAAAGGCAGAAUCAAUUUACAGCCUCAACCUGAACUAGUCCACAAGAAGUUAAUUUCCCCUGGACAGCUCCUUUCAAUCUCUUUAUGUCCAUCACCACCACUCCCAUUUUUUUGUCCUGAGGCACUCCAAGUAGUAACCAGUGUCAGUAUUCACUCUGGGUGAACAAGACAUUAUUUCCUUAAUAACUUCCAUCUUGUGGGACUUAGAGCUGGGGAGAACCUUGGAGGUCAUUGAGCCCAAACCCUUUAUUUUAUAGAUGGGGAAAGCAGAGAAGUAGUGAUUGACUUAAGAGUCACACAACCUGGGAGUGCUUGAGGUGGAAUUCAAACCCAGGUCUUCCUGAUUCCUCAUAAUACAAAAAAGAUCUAUGAUCUCAGCUGAGUGACCUCCUUCACCAACAGAGGAGAAUCUCUAUAUGACUUAGCCAACACCCAAGGUGCAUAAAAGUGAAAUGACUUGUUCAGGGUCACAUCUAGUACAUGUCAGAGGUGGGGUUUUGUACUCAGUUCUUCCUAAUUGCUUCUAGGCACUCUAAUCAUGCUGCAUCAAGACAUAUAGCAGAUGUCUAAUAAAUAUUGAUGAGUUGAUUACUAUGUUCUCA